ensembl:misc_RNA Y_RNA Y RNA
GGCUGGUCCGGAGGUCGUGGGUUCUCUCAGCCGGCUGCUAUCCGUCAGCUACAGAUCCAGCUCCUUGUUCUAUUCCCCGCCCUCCUCACUACUGCACUUGGCUGGUUUAUA